rnacentral:lncRNA from 1 species
AUGAACUGUUGGACUUCCAGACCAGCAGGUUUAGGGAGGUCAUUUAUGGGGUCACACUCUGACCCCCCCCACACACACACACACACACACAUGAUAGCUGUGUAUGUCCCGCCCUCUGCUAACGCUGCAGCAGCCUGUGAGGUCCUGCACACUGUAACCAGCAGACUUCAAACACAGCACCCUCAGGCCCUUUUCCUGAUCUCUGGGGACUUUAAUCACAUCUCCCUGUCCUCCACUCUCCCCACCUUCACCCAGUAUGUUACCUGCCACACCAGAGACAAUAAAACAUUGGACUUAUUGUAUGCCAACACCAAGGAGGCAUACAGCUCAUCACCUCUCCCUCCCCUGGGGGGCUCAGAUCACAAUCUGGUUCAUCUCCAGCCUGUGUAUAAACCUCUAGUACACAGAGAACCAGUUGUGAAACGCACAGUAAGGAAAUGGUCGGCAGAGACUGAAGAGGCCCUGAGGGACUGUUUCCAUUCUACUGUAUGGGACAACCUCUGCAGCCCCCUGGAGGAUGACCUCAACAGCAUCACAGACUGCAUUAUGGAUUACAUGAACUUCUGUGUGGACAACACCGUACCCAUCAAAAAGGUACGGUGUUUUUCUAACAACAAGCCAUGGAUAAAUCCAGAAAUUAAGGCUCUCCUCAAGGAGAAGAAGAGAGUCUUUAGAUCUGAAGACAAACAGGAGCUGAGAGUUGUCCAGAAGAAGCUGAAAUGGAAGAUAAGGCAAGGAAAGGAAAACUACAGGAGGAAGAUGGAAGAGCAGCUGCAACAGGACAACAUCAGAGGGGUUUGGAACAGCCUGAAGACAAUCUCAGGACAAAAACCAACCCCCCAGGCUGCAGGAGACUUGGGGUGGGUGAAUGACCUAAAUAAAUAUUUUAAUAGGUUUGAUCAACCACCCACCCCUCCCACAGCAUCAUCCCCCCUGCUGCAAUCUCCUUCAUCUUCAGGGACUGCCUGUCCUUCAUCUCAGGACUUCACACCUCUCAGCUUCACACCUCCCAGCUCCCAUCCAUCACAUCCACCCCCGGCUUCUGUGGACUCCAACAUACACCCCCCUCCCCCAAAAUCCACUCUUUCUAUCUCAGCACUUCAAGUGAGGAACGAGCUUCGCAAGAUCAAGGUGCGGAAGGCUGCAGGUCCAGAUCGCGUCAGCUCCAGGCUCCUGAGGUGCUGCGCAGAUGAACUGUGUGGCAUCCUAGGAUAUCUGUUCAACCUGAGCCUGUCACUGGGGAAAGUACCACAGCUGUGGAAGACAUCCUGUGUGGUACCGGUACCAAAGACCUCCCAUCCCAAGGAUCUCAGCAGCUACAGGUCGGUAGCCCUGACUUCGCAUCUGAUGAAGACCCUCGAGAGCUUGGUUCUAAACCUAGUGAGGUCUUCAUUGGAUCCACUACGGUUUGCUUACCAGCCUGGCAUUGGGGUGGAGGAUGCCAUCAUCUACCUCCUGCACCGAGCUCUGACUCACCUGGAGAAGCCUGGAAGCACUGUGAGGAUCAUGUUCUUUGAUGUCUCCAGUGCUUUUAACACCAUCCAGCCACGACUUCUGAGAGACAAGCUGGAGCUAUCGGGAGUGGACCACCAUAUGUCCCAGUGGAUACUGGACUACCUCACAGAACGUCCACAGUAUGUGAGGUCACAGGGCUGUGUCUCUGAUACACUGGUCUGCAGUACGGGGGCCCCACAGGGAACUGUGCUGGCACCGUUCCUCUUCACCCUCUACACUGCAGACUUCUCCAUCAACUCCCCACGCUGUCACCUGCAGAAGUUCUCUGACGACUCUGCCAUAGUCGGCCUCAUCACAGGUGAGGACCACUCAGAGUACAGACAGUGGACUCUGGACUUUGUAGAUUGGUGUCAGCAGAACCACCUGCUGAUCAACGCCGGGAAAACCAAGGAGUUGGUGGUGGAUUUCCGGAGAAGCAGACCCACCACACUGACACCGGUGAACAUCCAGGGAGUGGACAUUGAGAUAGUGGACUCUUAUAGGUACCUGGGUGUUCACCUGAAUAAUACACUGGACUGGAGCCACAACACUGAUGCUCUUCACAGGAAGGGUCAGAGCAGACUCUACCUGCUGAGGCGGCUGAGGUCAUUUGGAGUACAGGGAGCGCUUUUAAAGACCUUCUAUGACUCUGUGGUGGCAUCUGUCAUUUUUUACAGUGUGGUAUGUUGGAGCAGCAGUUUAUCGGCAGCUGAGAGGUUGGAUAAACUCAUCAGGAAGGCCAGCUCUGUUCUGGGAUGCACCCUGGACCCAGUGCAGGUGGUGGGAGACAGAAGGAUUCUGGCCCAGAUAACAUCUCUGAUGGACAGUCUCCCACCCCAUGCAUGUAAAUGUUGCUGA